rnacentral:rRNA from 1 species
AGCAGCCGCGGUAAUUCCAGCUCCAAUAGCGUAUAUUAAAGUUGUUGCAGUUAAAAAGCUCGUAGUUGAAUUUCGGGAUUGACGUGAUGGUCAUGCCUUAAGGGGUAUGAACUGUUACUGUUGAUUUCUCACCUUCUGGAGAAACUUGAUGUCCUUUAUUGGGUGUCUUGCGGAUCCAGGACCUUUACCUUGAAAAAUUAGAGUGUUUAAAGCAGGCAUUUUUGCUCGAAUACAUUAGCAUGGAAUAAUAGAAUAGGACGGCAUGGUUCUAUUUUGUUGGUUUCUAGGACCACCGUAAUGAUUAAUAGGGAUAGUUGGGGGCAUUAGUAUUCAAUUGUCAGAGGUGAAAUUCUUGGAUUUAUUGAAGACUAACUACUGCGAAAGCAUUUGCCAAGGAUGUUUUCAUUAAUCAAGAACGAAAGUUAGGGGAUCGAAGACGAUCAGAUACCGUCGUAGUCUUAACCAUAAACUAUGCCGACUAGGAAUCANACGAUGUUUAAUUUUUAAUAGUACUUACGUU